GCGGACGGCUCAGUAACACGUAGUCAACCUAACUCGUGGACGUGGAUAACCUCGGGAAACUGAGAAUAAACCACGAUAGAUCAUAAUGCCUGGAAUGGCUUAUGGUCCAAACAGUUUACUGCCAUGGGAUGGGACUGCGGCCUAUCAGCUUGUUGGUGAGGUAAUGGCCCACCAAGGCGAUUACAGGUACGGGCUCUGAGAGGAGAAGCCCGGAGAUGGGUACUGAGACACGGACCCAGGCCCUAUGGGGCGCAGCAGGCGAGAAACCUUAGCAAUGUGCGAAAGCACGACUGGGUCAGUCCGAGUGAUUCCUGAUAAAGGAGUCUUUUGCUUGUCCUAAAAGCACAGGUGAAUAAGGGGUGGGCAAGUCUGGUGUCAGCCGCCGCGGUAAUGCCAGCACCUCGAGUGGUCAGGACGUUUAUUGGGCCUAAAGCAUCCGUAGCCGGCUUUGCAAGUCUUCGGUUAAAUCCACCUGCUCAACAGAUGGGCCGCUGGAGAUACUACAGAGCUAGGGAGUGGGAGAGGCAGACGGUAUUCAGUGGGUAGGGGUAAAAUCCUCUGAUCCAUUGAGGACCACCAGUGGCGAAGGCGGUCUGCCAGAACACGUUCGACGGUGAGGGAUGAAAGCUGGGGGAGCAAACCGGAUUAGAUACCCGGGUAGUCCCAGCUGUAAACGAUGCAAACUCGGUGAUGCAUUGGCUUAUGGCCA
rnacentral:rRNA from 1 species